CCUACGGGAGGCAGCAGUGAGGAAUAUUGGUCAAUGGGCGCGAGCCUGAACCAGCCAAGUAGCGUGAAGGAAGAAGGCUUUCGGGUUGUAAACUUCUUUUCUCAGGGACGAAGCAAGUGACGGUACCUGAAGAAGAAGCCCCGGCUAACUACGUGCCAGCAGCCGCGGGAAUACGUAGGGGGCAAGCGUUAUCCGGAUUUACUGGGUGUAAAGGGGGCGCAGACGGCGAUGCAAGCCAGGAGUGAAAGCCCGGGGCCCAACCCCGGGACUGCUCUUGGAACUGCGUGGCUGGAGUGCAGGAGGGGCAGGCGGAAUUCCUGGUGUAGCGGUGAAAUGCGUAGAUAUCAGGAGGAACACCGGUGGCGAAGGCGGCCUGCUGGACUGCAACUGACGUUGAGGCCCGAAAGCGUGGGGAGCAAACAGGAUUAGAUACCCCAGUAGUC
rnacentral:rRNA from 1 species